rnacentral:rRNA from 1 species
ACUAAGCGUACACGGUGGAUGCCCUGGCAGUCAGAGGCGAUGAAGGACGUGCUAAUCUGCGAAAAGCGUCGGUAAGGUGAUAUGAACCGUUAUAACCGGCGAUGUCCGAAUGGGGAAACCCAGUGCAAUUCGUUGCACUAUCGUUAACUGAAUACAUAGGUUAACGAGGCGAACCGGGGGAACUGAAACAUCUAAGUACCCCGAGGAAAAGAAAUCAACCGAGAUUCCCCCAGUAGCGGCGAGCGAACGGGGAGCAGCCCAGAGUCUGAAUCAGCUUGUGUGUUAGUGGAACGGUCUGGAAAGUCCGACGGUACAGGGUGAUAGUCCCGUACACCAAAAUGCACAGGUUGUGAACUCGAAGAGUAGGGCGGGACACGUGGUAUCCUGUCUGAAUAUGGGGGGACCAUCCUCCAAGGCUAAAUACUCCUGACUGACCGAUAGUGAACCAGUACCGUGAGGGAAAGGCGAAAAGAACCCCGGCGAGGGGAGUGAAAAAGAACCUGAAACCGUGUACGUACAAGCAGUGGGAGCACCUUCGGGUGUGACUGCGUACCUUUUGUAUAAUGGGUCAGCGACUUAUAUUCUGUAGCAAGGUUAACCGUAUAGGGGAGCCGCAGGGAAACCGAGUCUUAACUGGGCGUUAAGUUGCAGGGUAUAGACCCGAAACCCGGUGAUCUAGCCAUGGGCAGGUUGAAGGUUGGGUAACACUAACUGGAGGACCGAACCGACUAAUGUUGAAAAAUUAGCGGAUGACUUGUGGCUGGGGGUGAAAGGCCAAUCAAACCGGGAGAUAGCUGGUUCUCCCCGAAAGCUAUUUAGGUAGCGCCUCGUGAAUUCAUCUUCGGGGGUAGAGCACUGUUUCGGCUAGGGGGUCAUCCCGACUUACCAACCCGAUGCAAACUACGAAUACCGAAGAAUGUUAUCACGGGAGACACACGGCGGGUGCUAACGUCCGUCGUGAAGAGGGAAACAACCCAGACCGCCAGCUAAGGUCCCAAAGUCAUGGUUAAGUGGGAAACGAUGUGGGAAGGCACAGACAGCCAGGAUGUUGGCUUAGAAGCAGCCAUCAUUUAAAGAAAGCGUAAUAGCUCACUGGUCGAGUCGGCCUGCGCGGAAGAUGUAACGGGGCUAAACCAUGCACCGAAGCUGCGGCAGCGACACUAUGUGUUGUUGGGUAGGGGAGCGUUCUGUAAGCCUGCGAAGGUGUGCUGUGAGGCAUGCUGGAGGUAUCAGAAGUGCGAAUGCUGACAUAAGUAACGAUAAAGCGGGUGAAAAGCCCGCUCGCCGGAAGACCAAGGGUUCCUGUCCAACGUUAAUCGGGGCAGGGUGAGUCGACCCCUAAGGCGAGGCCGAAAGGCGUAGUCGAUGGGAAACAGGUUAAUAUUCCUGUACUUGGUGUUACUGCGAAGGGGGGACGGAGAAGGCUAUGUUAGCCGGGCGACGGUUGUCCCGGUUUAAGCAUGUAGGCUGGUUGUCCAGGCAAAUCCGGAUAAUCAAGGCUGAGGUGUGAUGACGAGGCACUACGGUGCUGAAGUAACAAAUGCCCUGCUUCCAGGAAAAGCCUCUAAGCAUCAGGUAACAUCAAAUCGUACCCCAAACCGACACAGGUGGUCAGGUAGAGAAUACCAAGGCGCUUGAGAGAACUCGGGUGAAGGAACUAGGCAAAAUGGUGCCGUAACUUCGGGAGAAGGCACGCUGGUGUGUAGGUGAAGUCCCUGCGGAUGGAGCUGAGACCAGUCGAAGAUACCAGCUGGCUGCAACUGUUUAUUAAAAACACAGCACUGUGCAAACACGAAAGUGGACGUAUACGGUGUGACGCCUGCCCGGUGCCGGAAGGUUAAUUGAUGGGGUUAUCCGUAAGGAGAAGCUCUUGAUCGAAGCCCCGGUAAACGGCGGCCGUAACUAUAACGGUCCUAAGGUAGCGAAAUUCCUUGUCGGGUAAGUUCCGACCUGCACGAAUGGCGUAAUGAUGGCCAGGCUGUCUCCACCCGAGACUCAGUGAAAUUGAACUCGCUGUGAAGAUGCAGUGUACCCGCGGCAAGACGGAAAGACCCCGUGAACCUUUACUAUAGCUUGACACUGAACAUUGAGCCUUGAUGUGUAGGAUAGGUGGGAGGCUUUGAAGCGUGGACGCCAGUCUGCGUGGAGCCAACCUUGAAAUACCACCCUUUAAUGUUUGAUGUUCUAACGUUGGCCCCUGACCGGGGUUGCGGACAGUGUCUGGUGGGUAGUUUGACUGGGGCGGUCUCCUCCCAAAGCGUAACGGAGGAGCACGAAGGUUAGCUAAUCCUGGUCGGACAUCAGGAGGUUAGUGCAAUGGCAUAAGCUAGCUUGACUGCGAGCGUGACGGCGCGAGCAGGUGCGAAAGCAGGUCAUAGUGAUCCGGUGGUUCUGAAUGGAAGGGCCAUCGCUCAACGGAUAAAAGGUACUCCGGGGAUAACAGGCUGAUACCGCCCAAGAGUUCAUAUCGACGGCGGUGUUUGGCACCUCGAUGUCGGCUCAUCACAUCCUGGGGCUGAAGUAGGUCCCAAGGGUAUGGCUGUUCGCCAUUUAAAGUGGUACGCGAGCUGGGUUUAGAACGUCGUGAGACAGUUCGGUCCCUAUCUGCCGUGGGCGCUGGAGAAUUGAGGGGGGCUGCUCCUAGUACGAGAGGACCGGAGUGGACGCAUCACUGGUGUUCGGGUUGUCAUGCCAAUGGCACUGCCCGGUAGCUAAAUGCGGAAGAGAUAAGUGCUGAAAGCAUCUAAGCACGAAACUUGCCCCGAGAUGAGUUCUCCCUGAGACUAUAAGUCUCCUGAAGGAACGUUAAAGACGAUGACGUUGAUAGGCCGGGUGUGUAAGCGCAGCGAUGCGUUGAGCUAACCGGUACUAAUGAACCGUGAGGCUUAACC